AUUACUUUGGCAGAAUAGUGUUUUAAAUUUAGAAUUUAAUUAUGUAUAAAUGUAUUUAUACAAGUAAUA
rnacentral:tRNA from 1 species